UGAACUAAGACCCAAAAUUAUUUCUCUUUGAUUUAUGAUUUUUAUGAGUUUUAUGAUGACUAGAAGUUAUACCCAUGUCCAUCAACAAUUUUUGCUCUGUUAUAUUUGUGUCAUGAAAAACAUUGUUUUCAGCAUUGUUAUCUGAACUUAUGAACUCACGAGCACAAGUAUGUACAUGCUUACAAAUAUUUGUUUUAAUAAUAUCAAUGCAAGAGCAAUGAAAACUGAUAAUGAAAACAUUACACUUUUUGCAUUUCAGACCUGACAAAUG